GACGAACGCUGGCGGCGUGCUUAACACAUGCAAGUCGAACGGAAAGGCCCUGCUUUUGUGGGGUGCUCGAGUGGCGAACGGGUGAGUAACACGUGAGUAACCUGCCCUUGACUUUGGGAUAACUUCAGGAAACUGGGGCUAAUACCGGAUAGGAGCUCCUGCUGCACGGUGUUGGUUGGAAAGUUUCGGCGGUUGGGGAUGGACUCGCGGCUUAUCAGCUUGUUGGGGGGGUAGUGGCUUACCAAGGCUGUGACGGGUAGCCGGCCUGAGAGGGUGACCGGCCACAUUGGGACUGAGAUACGGCCCAGACUCCUACGGGAGGCAGCAGUGGGGAAUAUGGCACAAUGGGCGGAAGCCUGAUGCAGCAGCGCCGCGUGCGGGAUGACGGCCUUCGGGUUGUAAACCGCUUUCGCCUGUGACGAAGCGUGAGUGACGGUAAUGGGUAAAGAAGCACCGGCUAACUACGUG
rnacentral:rRNA from 1 species